UGUUUGCACUUGUCGGUGAGGGUGAGAACCUUCGAUUAAGGUUCGACUCGAGCGAAAGCGAGAGAACGUUGCCAACGGCAACGGCCCGUAGGGUGAGGAGCGAAGCGACGAAUAAUCCUUCCCCCACCACCA
rnacentral:sRNA from 1 species